UGUCUAUCUUUGUAGCACCCGCAUCACAAGGGUCGCCUAGAUCCCCGAGUCACGUAAAUUGGAACCUUUUUGGCAACGUUGAAUGAUUGUGUGAUGUUCAGAAGUUAGCUUCCAGGUCUGUGUAGCGUGGUGACCAGCAUUGGAUGCAGGUACAUUAUUUGUCGUGACACGUUAGCCAUGUUAGCCGGCGUCUCUCGUUUUCAGAUUGGAGUCGCUUGGCGCUCUAUCCUGUGUCAUAAAUAUAAGCUAAGAAUGCGUGUUGUUCGCGUGGCAACCACGUCGGUCGGCAGCGAGCUCCAGUUGCGUCAGCGUUAAGUGAAAUUUCUACGCCUUACCGACAGGAUCACGACGCCCGACAGCGAGACACUGCGGCUUCCGUGACGUUGUUUGUUGCCACCUCGGGACCGCCUUCGAUGCAUGGGCAGAAUGAGACGCUAAACACACCGUAGUGCAGUAGAUUGAGCCUUUGUAAGGAGGCUUGCCCCGGAACUAAUGGAACUGCCAUGCCGACCGUCUUCCGGAAGUCCAGGAUACGUCGAUGUCGAGACCGGAUCGGUGAAGGCUCUGUGUCGAUUUCUUCAGUAUUUUUUCCAAAGAAAAUCUGGCUAACCCUGCAUUGCUGUCUCAAAGAACAGCUCCCGCCUGUCUAGCCGACUCUGGCUAGCUUUGGUUCUUCGCACAGCGCCCUUAUUCGUACUACUCACGCCAAGUCAUUGGGCCACAUUUGAAGUUGCUGGGUGUUGACCAAUUGGUAGUUUAGAUAGUUUAUUUACUUUUGUUUACUCAACUGCCAGGGUGCAGCAGCCAUGUUAUGGCUUUUCUUGCUCUCUCUACAGAGUUGCAUCUCUUCUGAUCGGUUUUGUAUCGUAAUCGGUCUUUUCUUUAUGUUCACAGGUAUGUUCAUUCUGCCCCUAACCCUUAACCCUUUAAGUGCCGGGGUGUUUUUCCGUAUGCCAAACACAAAUUUUGGUCUUGGUAGCACUGUAGCAUGCUUUGUCAAGAAUAUUUAUUUAUCAAAGAUGCAUAGCUCUAUGGGCAAAAAUUCUGCAUGCCGUCAAACUAGGAGAAUUUUUCUAGUAUAUUGUAUUGCUCGGGGCAUCGCACCUUGACUUCGCCCCCUGGGCCGGUUUUCUCGAAGUGAUGGUAAACCCAUUUUGGUAAACCACGGUGCCUAGGAAGGAAAA
rnacentral:misc_RNA from 1 species